GACGAGGGGUCCUAGCGUUGUUCGGAAUCAUUGGGCGUAAAGCGUGUGUAGGCUGCCAAAAAAGUCAGUUGUGAAAUCCCCGGGCUUAACCCGGGAAGUGCUUCUGAUACUGUUUGGCUUGAGUACUGGAGAGGAUAGUGGAAUUCCUGGUGUAGCGGUGAAAUGCGCAGAUAUCAGGAGGAACACCGGUGGCGAAGGCGGGACUCUGGGCCGAUACUGACGCUGAGGAGCGAAAGCGUGGGGAGCAAACAGG
rnacentral:rRNA from 1 species